AAUUAGGAGAGAUGAGUGUUACGAAGAGAAAAGUGAAUUUUCAGAAAAAAAAAUAGGGAUUAAAUUAAUGAUAAAAUAUUCGAUUGAGGAUGAAGAAACAGAAUUCUUCGUUCUGUUCUCCACCUUAGAAGUUUGUGAAAUUAUCCCUUUAACAAUAACUACAUUUUUCUUCAAGGUGAGGAAGCGCUAAGGGAAUACCAAUAGAGUGGGAGAAGAUAUUCAACAGCGACGACUCUCCGGCGGAGCUGGUGGUUAACUACGCCUUACCACGGCUGCCUGCUGAAAAACAGUAAUCGAUCACCAUGGAAGGAGAAGAGCUAAAAGAAGGACUUUCGAAUUUAUCAGAUACAGAAUUGACCGACAAAAUUGCUAGGCUAAAAAAAUCUCUGUUUAGCAACAUUGGUGUUAGGUUACCGAUGGAGGUGAAAAGUAUAGGGCAAAUAUCAAACUGCAGGAGGAUGAAUUAGAAUGGAGGAAACGGGUCGGUUCCGGUCAGGUGCACCUUAUAACUUCGAGCCACAGGCUUCACCAUCUGUGUCCUCUUCAUAGUCCACCUUUGCUGUUUGGUUUUUGAACAGGCAGAGUCUAAGCCAGCCAAUGCUUUCCAAGAAGAAAUACAUGUGACCACAAAAGUACAUCAAACAACCAGUUUUCACAAAGAAAAAGAUACAAGCGAGAGUUAUUGUCAAGGAAGAACCUUAUAAGUCUCCUGUAGACAAAGGUGAACAAGUUCUGAAUGUUGAUCUAAAAGGAUGGGAUCCUUCUACUCGUUCUACAGAAAAUAUCGCCAGCUUUUUCGUGGAGAAGGUUGAUCCUGAAUCUGUUGAAAUUUGUUGUUCGGACAUGGAAUCUCUAGCACCUGAAGCAUAUUUUUCAUCGACUAUAAUGAAUUUCUACAUCCGGUACCUCCAGAAGACAAAACAUCAUGCAGAUGUCGAUGAGUAUCACUUUUUCAAUACAUAUUUUUACCAGAAGCUCAAAGAGGCUGUAUUGAGCAAGUCUUCAUUGGAGCCUGGUUAUAAUUUGCAUACCAGAUAAAGAAGAUGAAGUGGGGCCAAUCUUACUUCACUUGGAUUUAUUAGGUCUUCACUGCAGCAAGUCCCUCUUUGCUACCAUAAGAAAAUUUUUGGUAGAAGAAUGGAAAUUCUUAAGACAAGGAGAAGUGAUAUGGGAAAAUCUUCCACGAAGGAUUGAUGAAAACAUCAUUCAGGUCCCACAACAAAGAAAUGAGUAUGACUGCAGUCUGUUUGUUCUUUUCUUUAUGGAGCAUUUCUUUGACGAAGUUCAUAGAAGGGUUAAAAAGAAGGAUUUCACCAUGUUUGGAAGAAGGUGGUUCAAACCUGCAGAAGCCUCUUGUUUGAGGAUGAAAAUCCGCAGAAUACUGGAGGAAGAAUUCAAGAAUGUGAGUGAGAAUGAUUGAUAUUUUCAGGAUUGCUACUGUGUACAGGUAAUUACUCUUGCUCAAAGAAAUCCACUAGCAGUUUUUCAGCAUAGACUACUGUCGUCAGUCACACAUCAACCAUAAACAGGCAGAGGAUUUAGUAGAAUUGAUAUUGACCCAUCCAAUGGGAAGGAGAAAUACACUAGACUUCCCUGGGAAAUAUAUAUAUUGUACAUAAAUCAUAAUUGAACAAUCACCAAGGGGAAAAACAGAACAUUUGGGCGAUGCAUCGAUAUUGACCAUGUCCCUCUCCAUUCAUCCAACGAUUCCAGCCUCCACCCUUUGAUCAUCCCACCUUCAAACCCUCAAUCCCCACCCAUCCCCGUAGUGUUUUGCUAGAUUGCAUAUAUGACUUUUGUUUCAAUUUGAUCGUCCUGUUUUGUCUUCGCACUAAAUUUUCGAACGUAAAGAAAGUUUUUAAAUCUCGUGGUCUUAAAUUAAAAAUAUGUAGAAUGUACCAGAAGAGUGAUUUCUCAAAGAAUAAUAAAAUAAAAUAAAAGAAUGGUCCUAAACCUAUGUAUACAAGCUUCUAUGACCAAAGUUAGUUAGUCUAUUGUACAUUAUAAUCCGUUCGGUCUAAUGAAAGUGAAAACAACCCUUUUGUGCAACUUGAGAUGUGUCAAUGGCUUCUAACAUGAGCAUCACCUCCUUCAUCUCUGGCCUCUCUUUUGGGUCUGCAUGCCAACAUUGCUUCAUUAUGUUGGCCACAACACUUGGACAUUUGUUUGGUAUUUCUGGCCUUAGACUCUAAAAUUUCAAAAAAUAUAUCAGUGAUUGAUAUUAUUUUAACAUUAGCUAUAAAGAAUAUAACAUAAAAAUUGAAAAUAUACCUUGUAUUUACAUGGACUUGUGUCAGAAGAAGGAAUUUUUCCAUUAUAUGGAAUAGAACAACAAUAUAUCUCCCACAAGCAAAUUCCAAAACUAUAGACAUCACAUUUAUGAUCAUAUGGUACACCAAUAAGUACCUGCAUAUACAAAAUAAGACAAUAAAAUUAGUAUAAGUAAUAGAGAAUUCAAUCUUUUGUUCCUUCAUGUAAAUAAAAAAAAAAAAUACUAUAAGAAUGAGAUAUCUCACCUCAGGAGCCAUGUAACCAAUGGUACCAAUUUGGGCAGUCAUGUCAAGAGGACAUGAAGAUUCAAUUCGAGAAACGCCAAAAUCGAUUAUUUUGACUCUUCCAUCCUUGUCCAUGACUAAAUUACUAGUCUUUACAUCUCUAUGAACAAUUUUCUUAGAAUGAAGGUAACUCAACCCUCUUGCAAUAUCUAGUGCUAUUUGAAUAACAGAAUUCAAUGGCAACUUUUUGAUAUGAUUUUUUAAGAGAUGUGAUCUCAGAGUGCCUCCAGGGACAUAUUCAACCACGAUACCAUAUUCGAAUGAUCGUUGUUUUUCCAAUGAACGAUUUCUCAACCACGGGAUGCAAUUGAAGACGUUAGAUCUUCACAAGAGGAUAUUUUCCGAAUUUAGUGAUGAACAAUCAAGAGUGUCAUACACUGGUAUGAAGUUUUAAUCACUUGUUAUUGCAUUAAAAUUUUAUCUUAUGCUCAUUGAGUGGUUUUAGUGUGCUAUGAGCAUAAUAUUCAGAUCUGAUAUUGUUUGUGUUUUAUUCAAGUUUUCACAUUUGUUUAUAGCAAAAAUCUAUCAAGAACAAAUAAAAGCGGCAAAAGGGAGGUUGCCUGAUAGUAGUGUAAAGGUGCAUACAACUUAUUAGUUAUGUUGAAAGAUGACGACUUGUGAGAUUGUUUUGAGUAUGAUGUUGUUAUAACAUUUGGUAUCUAAUGUGAACAGCUGAAAAUAGUACUACAAUUUCUGUUUUCUAAUAAUUAAAAAGUGCGAAUCAUUUUAGACAAUCCAAUUAAAGCUUAAACAUCUAUGACAUAGCAACAUGGUUUAAUAAGAAUUUCACAUGGUUGUCUCCAUUCUAAAAUAAUGGUACUGCCAAAUUUAGAGAGGGACCGCUCAUGCAUUACAUUUCCUUAAACCUGGUACUCAAACAAACACAACAUCUUUGCCUGAAAGGUUGAAAUACUUGGUGUUGUUUCGUUCCAACGUGAUACUGAGUUUCCAACCAAGUCCUCCAAUAUGACAUCAUGAACAGAUGUAAGAGUUCUGUUGUGGGGUUGUUGCGCAACUGAACCUCUCUUGGGAGUUCUCACUAUCUUCCAGGUGGCAAUAAUGAAGAAAUUGCACUUUACUUUAAUGCACAAGAUCAGGGGUGUGUGUUGAUAGUCCAAGAAUGAUGCAUUUUAAGUCAAUAUUUUUGGAGAGCUCGAACCAGCAUCCAAAAGAUAAGAUACUGACUCCAUAUCACAGCAAUUAGGUGUCUGGCAACUUCAUGUUUUCCUCAAAAGAUGUGAAAAAGCACCCAACCAGGACAAUACGACAUCAGGAAUUCUGUAAAAGAUUUUAAAGUAAGUCAAUGGACAU